CAAAAGGAAGAACAAAGGAAGAAAAGAAGAACAAGAACCCUAGGUGGGAAAACUCAAGGGAAAAUUAGUGGAUUUCAAAUAAUCAAGCAAUCAAAGGUGGUGAGUCUUCCGACAAGGGUAAGGAAAUUGUACCCGAGGAUCAAUAGUUGGAGUACUAUAGAAAUUCGACUCCUAAAAUAGUAUUGCUUGCUGCAGUGGGCUGGGUUCUGUGGACUAGCUUA